UACUCCACACGCAUUUAUCACGUCCUCCCGGCAGCGUGGCAGGCACCAGGGACAUCGAGAUGAAUAACACUCGCAAUGCUGUUGUCAAGGAACUGGCUCUCUGGGAAGGGAGGAAAUAAAAUACAAGCGCAGAAGAGAGCAAAGGAGCUCAGAGCCAGCUAGGAAAGAGACCGUAGAUUGCAGGAAAUCUGUGACAUUGCUACACUUCGCCAACCUCUGUUGAGUCUAUUUUCUCAUCUUGAUCCACUUGGAUGAUGGCCUACUGUUGCAAAGGAGAAAGAGGAAGAAAUCCAGACCCUGAGUGCUGACAGGUUAGAAGAACUAAUCUGGGUCUGGUCUGGAAGUGUCCUGCCUGAAGACAAGCUCUCAUGGUAUCAGAGAGAGUUGUACAAGCUGCCAAGAGAGAAAAGCAACCAAUACUCUUACCCAACUGUAAAGUCUGUGAACCACCACAGUGACUGACCCGACAUGAUAGUCUGAAAGGCGCAAUGGUGGUACACAUCCUGGGGGUAACCAAUGGCUACCUAAUUAGAUUUAAGGUCUGACGGAUGGGAGGGCAUAGAUGCCUGGCACUUUAAACUUAGCUCACUACCCAUGACUGGUGAUGGCGUGAAACCUAGAGGAGAACCUACUUUGGCUGCCUUCCUAAACCAGUGUGAUUCGGAACUGCGAGAUAACUGCUGGUCCCCAUACCCACAGGAGAGACGAUGACUAUUCCUGAAAUGGCAGAUUGGGUUCAUCGUGUAUGCAGACUCUGAUUGCUCCGCCGCCAUGGCUGCCUGGAGCACUGGGCUGAAAAGGACCCAGCUCCUGCAUGAGGGUGUCUCCGUGGUGUGUGAUGUGUGAUUCAAUGCUUUUGAAAGAGUCAGAGAUGGAGUUCAAGACUUCCACCAGACUCUGCACUCGGAAGCAGGCAGGGGACCUAUCCCUGCCUACUCUGGAGUCUAAGGGAGAGCCUGUGCGAUUGGAUCCUUGAUAAUUUUUGGUUGUGAGCCUAGCCUCUUAGGGCCGAGCCAUCUCUCCAGCCCUUUGAUACUGGAAAAAAAUGUUUAUUAAAUAAGUAAAUGAAGGGA